UUCUUCCAGCUCUUUUCAGUGGGUAGCUGGUCUUCGGGGCUGUCACGGCUGUCCCCUAACCCUAUUGUUUCUGCCUUGGCGGGACAUUUGUUCUGCUUAGCUGCAGGGGUAUUGCCCUCAUUUUACGGGUUGGAAAACUGAGGGUGGAUGAAGACUAUAUAGCUAGUAGUGUAGUCGGAACUCAGUACAAUCGAAACUAAAUCUGAUUGUUGUCUCAAACGUGAUGUCCACGUCGUGUGAUGGACAUGAGGCCAGGCAGUAUUUUCAGAUUAAAUAUCUAUUGAGAGAAUGAGUGAAAGAGCUAGCCAUCGCUAGCCUCCACCUGGUACCUGAUGAGAAGAUGACCCGUGGCUCCUAUUCAUGGCAGAGGAGAUUAGCAUCUCAAAGGGCCAGAAGGCAUGGGCUGGAGCUCUCUCAGCUUCUGCGAUUGGCUUCAAAAAUCUCUUCCUAUCAUUUUGGACUAAUGGCAUUUGUCAUCCAGUGAAGGUUAGUGAAACCAAUGUUUGAUAACCACCUCCUCCACCCUGACCCUUUGUGGAUGUGCCAAGAGGCAGCUGCAAAACCGGAUUCACAACAGAGGCCGUCAAGGAAAACACGAAAGAGAUUGUGGAGAUAGCAUAAAAGAUGGGGCCUGAAUGGUUGCAAGAUGUGGAUCUUGAAUUCAAGCGCUAAUGGACACCAGCCCCACCAGAGGAAUGAACGGAAGAUGGCUUGAUGGAGAUGAGUGCCCUGCCAGUGCCAGUGAUGAGGAAGAAGAUGAAGAAGCAGAGGCGGAAAACAAUUUGACAGUAGACAGUCCGGCAGAAGGAUGCUGACUCUUCAGGCCUGCUUUUGAUUUCUUUUACGAUAACAGGUUUUGGAACUAAAGCGGAUAGUGGAAGAUGGACUGGUACCCUAUGGAAAACAUUAGUUACACCAAGCAUGCCUGCCUCCCCUUCCACCUCCUUCUCCUCUUCCUCCUCUGUCACCCCCGAGUCAGCAAGACCAUCCCCUCCCCUUCCUCCUGAGCCUCCUCAGCAUGAAGACGAGGAGGAUGAAGACCUUAAUGACGAACCACUUCCACUUAAUGAACAGUAAAUAGUCAUCAGGCCUUGCAGUUAAGAAACUUAUCUGUUGUGUAUAUUACAUCACUGGGUGACAAUCUAAGACAUUCUUGUCUCAUCAUCAUCAUCACUAAGUAUUCAUUGUGUAGGACAUCAUGUGCAAGAGUCGUAGUGAGGAGUUGUUGUGGCCCAGCAGGUUGAGAACCCAACAUUAGUGUCCGUGAGGAUGUGGAUUUGAUCCUUGGCCUCACUUAGUGGGUUAAGGAUCUGCAAGCUGCAGCACAGGUCUCAGGUGUAGCUUGGAUCCAGUGUGGCUGUGGCUGUGGCAGAGGCCCGCAGCUGCAGCUCUGAUUCGACCCCUAGCCCGGGAACUUCCAUAUGUUGUAGGUUCAGCCUAAAAAAAAAUAAAGUAAGGCAAAGACGUGUAUUUAAGUGGAUGGCCUAUCUUAUCCUUACAUAGGCAUAAGGCAAGAGCUAUUUAAUAUAAAAUUAAUAAUGUUAGUUUUCUUACCGUUUUAUUGUUUUUUAAUUUUUUUGUCUUUUUAGGGCCACACCCGUGGCAUAUGGAGGGUCCCAGGCUAGGGGUCUAAUCCGAGCCGCAUCUGCGACCUACACCACAGCUCACGGCAACGUGGGAUCGUUAACCUCCUGAGCGAGGCCAGGGAUCCAACCCGAAACCUCGUGGUUCCUAGUUGGAUUCAUUUCUCCUGCGCCACGACAGGAACUCCUUCUUACUGUUUUAUAAUUUGGCUUUCAAAGAAUUAUAUUACCGUACGGAAUCUCUCUCUCUCAUAAUUGGGGAAACUGUAUCAGCCUAUCAUUACAGGUAAGUGGUUUUUAAAAAAUGUAACAAUGUUUCCAAUGCUGUAUUAUGACUAUGACUGUAAUACUGUAUGCCAUAAAAAUUUUAUAACAAUUCAUUUAUUAAUGUAUUGGCUAGGCUACUGUGAAGCUAUUGUACACUAGGCCACCAUAAAGCAAUCACAUUGCUGCUUCUUCAUUAACAAUGCAUGAAUCGUUAUACCUGUAAAUAACUGAAUUUCCUUUUCAUAUUAUCUUUUAUUUUUAUCUUUUAUUUUUAAAGUCUACUGUUAGUAAUACAUAUAACAUAUAGAGUUUUGUAUUAUAUAUGACAAUUUGAUGUAAGUACUGACAGACAAUUCAUCUUGUGAACAGACAACAUAAACUUACAGUAUUG
rnacentral:lncRNA from 1 species